UACGUAGGCGGCGAGCGUUGUUCGGAGUUACUGGGCGUAAAGAGUGCGUAGGCGGUUUUCUAAGUUUGGUGUGAAAUCUCCCGGCUUAACUGGGAGGGUGCGCCGAAGACUGGAAGGCUUGAGUAUGGGAGAGGUAAGCGGAAUUCCUGGUGUAGCGGUGAAAUGCGUAGAUAUCAGGAGGAACACCUGCGGUGUAGACGGCUUACUGGACCAUCACUGACGCUGAGGCACGAAAGCGUGGGUAGCAAACAGG
rnacentral:rRNA from 1 species